rnacentral:rRNA from 1 species
AUUGAACGCUGGCGGCAUGCUUUACACAUGCAAGUCGAACGGUAACAGGCCGCAAGGUGCUGACGAGUGGCGAACGGGUGCGUAAUGCAUCGGAACGUGCCCAGUCGUGGGGGAUAACUACUCGAAAGAGUAGCUAAUACCGCAUACGAUCUAUGGAUGAAAGCGGGGGACCGUAAGGCCUCGCGCGAUUGGAGCGGCCGAUGUCAGAUUAUGUAGUUGGUGGGGUAAAGGCUCACCAAGCCAACGAUCUGUAGCUGGUCUGAGAGGACGACCAGCCACACUGGGACUGAGACACGGCCCAGACUCCUACGGGAGGCAGCAGUGGGGAAUUUUGGACAAUGGGCGCAAGCCUGAUCCAGCAAUGCCGCGUGCAGGAAGAAGGCCUUCGGGUUGUAAACUGCUUUUGUACGGAACGAAACGGCUCUGGUUAAUACCCGGGGCUAAUGACGGUACCGUAAGAAUAAGCACCGGCUAACUACGUG